CAUCUUUCAAUGCGGUCCUCCCUGUUUUCCAUCUGUGUUACACGUUACCCUGUGGGCUCCUGGUUUUCUUUCGGGAGGAGACGGUGUCGGUGUUGAGCGGGCGCGCUCCGGGGUGCGAUGCCGCUCCCGGCCAGCCAGCCCCGCGCCCUGGGCGGAGAUGACGGCAGUGCUUGAAGGCGAUGUUUUUCGCCGGGACUGCGUGGCUGGCGAGAUGGUAACGCCGAGGCGGGGAGCAGCUUCACAGCUCGGUGCCCUCACCGGAGCCACCGCCUGAGCAGCGCUGUGCCCCAGCCGAGCGCCCGCAGCCUGUGUGGGGAGCAGCACGCCCGCGGCGGGGGCUCCCCGGGGACCCGCCGCUCCCCCGCCGGCGGCCCUGCGCCAUCCCGGGCGGCCCGUCCCGCACACACGUGCCCGGCCAAGUGCCAAGACCACAGUCCGAAGGGAGUCGCCCAUGAAGAUUUGUUCAUGCAGCUAAACAAACUUUCAUGGAUAAAGUUCAAAACAGAAAAGAAAGGAUUUUCAAGCAUGGAACAGGCAGCCCAUGGAAGUGGUAAUGAAUACUGUGUAUCCAGACAGCAAUAAACCUUCAGCUGCAGACCACUGACAGAAAUCUAUAGAGCACCAGUUUGGGAAAUCUCAGCUUUAAACUCUAAAUGAUUCAACAUUUGUUCCCUCUGAUGACACCGCGAAUCUGGGAAUGAAGAACUUCUUAGAGCUGAUUGGAAAUGGCAUUGCGGAGCUGAAACUUAACUGGAGGAAAUAUAUCUCCUGAAGAAGAAAAUAUAAUGCACUGUAAGGAUCUGUCUUCUGGUGAAAAAUCCAAGCCUAGAGAAAACUUGUCCGCUUUCUUAGGAAGAAUGGGUUGGACAAUUUUCUUCAGUUCCAAAGGAUAUCUGAAUGCCAUGCUGAGCUUAAUCUCUGCAGCAUGCUCUGUGCUUCUCAUCUCCUCCUGAUGCACUGCAUGGUUAUUCUGAAGGGGAAGAUAAAGAAACUGGCCACCAAGAUGGUAAUCACUAGUGGAAAUGAAGAAGAUAAAGGCAGUCAAGAAAAGGAAAGCAAAGAAGAAACCAUCUUGGCAAUGCUUGGAAUUAUUGGGACAAUUCUGAACCUCAUUGUGAUCAUUUUUGUGUAUAUUUAUACAACGUUGUAAACUAGAAGGCAUGCAAAUAGACCAGAUAAAACGGCCAUUAAGAGUGACAACAAACAUUGCCGACUAUUGACAAGUUCUUUAAUCAGAAUUGACUCUGUAUUAUAUUAACACAUCAUAAAAGCACUGCCUGAAGGCAGCGAAGACUGAAGCACAAUUAAUUUAACAAGACUUUUUCACACAGUAAUAAGCUUAACUCUUCUCUCCUGCCCUCUCCCUCUCAGUUUGGUUUUCAGUUUGGGGGAGAAUGACUGCAGUUAUGUAAGUUGUAGCUUUGAAGAAAUCCACCAGGGAUAUGUUGUUUUAACACAACAAAAAGAAAAAAAAAAGGAAAAGAAAAAAAAAAAAAAGGAAAAAAAGGAAAAGAAACUGUACACUAUAUAUAAUUAGAAAUGUAUGCUGUGUACCCGCAAAGAUUGAACUCAAAGAUAGCUUCAUAGCACAGAUCACGUGUCUGUUAGGUCAAAUGGUUUUUUCUCUUGGUUUUUGCUUUUACUUACAUUGAAUCUGACAAGCUUUUUAUUUAGAAUGAACAUAUGGUGCAAUCAUGAAAAAAACAAUUCCAUUGAGCAAGGUCUGCCUAAACCUGAUAAAAUGUUGGGAGAAAUACAUUACAUGGUUAUUUUUCCUUUCUCAUUUGCUUAACGUCUGUGUCUGUUCAUACCAAUGUUUAUAAAUAUAUAUUUUUAAUAAAUGUGCUAUAUUUUUAGCAUGAACCAAA